rnacentral:rRNA from 1 species
UACGUAGGGUGCAAGCGUUGUCCGGAAUUAUUGGGCGUAAAGAGCGUGUAGGCGGCCCGAUUAGUCCGCUGUGAAAGUCCAGGGCUCAACCCUGGAAUGCCGGUGGAUACUGUCGGGCUAGAGUCCGGAAGGGGCGAGUGGAAUUCCUGGUGUAGCGGUGAAAUGCGCAGAUAUCAGGAGGAACACCGGUGGCGAAGGCGGAUCUCUGGGCCAUUACUGACGCUGAGGAGCGAAAGCGUGGGGAGCGAACAGG